CACGUAGGCUGUUAUGUAAGUCAGGGGUGAAAGCCCACGGCUCAACCGUGGAACUGCCCUUGAUACUGCACGACUCGAAUCCGGGAGAGGGUGGCGGAAUUCCAGGUGUAGGAGUGAAAUCCGUAGAUAUCUGGAGGAACAUCAGUGGCGAAGGCGGCCACCUGGACCGGUAUUGACGCUGAGGUGCGAAAGCGUGGGGAGCAAACAG
rnacentral:rRNA from 1 species